UAUCUCCAACCUGGGUAGAGUGGCAUUUGAUUGGGUGGUGCCCAUUUCAUAUCAGCCAGAGACAAAACAACCCCUUGUUUACCCCACCUUGCCUUUUGGUUUGUGCCCAUGCCUGGAUACAAGGAAAAAUAAAUUC
ensembl:snoRNA